rnacentral:rRNA from 1 species
UGGGGAAUAUUGCACAAUGGGCGCAAGCCUGAUGCAGCCAUGCCGCGUGUGUGAAGAAGGCCUUCGGGUUGUAAAGCACUUUCAGCGGGGAGGAAGGCGAUAAGGUUAAUAACCUUAUCAAUUGACGUUACCGACAGAAGAAGCACCGGCUAACUCCGUGCCAGCAGCCGCGGUAAUACGGAGGGUGCAAGCGUUAAUCGGAAUUACUGGGCGUAAAGCGCACGCAGGCGGUUGAUUGAGUCAGAUGUGAAAUCCCCGGGCUUAACCCGGGAAUUGCAUCUGAUACUGGUCAGCUAGAGUCUUGUAGAGGGGGGUAGAAUUCCAUGUGUAGCGGUGAAAUGCGUAGAGAUGUGGAGGAAUACCGGUGGCGAAGGCGGCCCCCUGGACGAAGACUGACGCUCAGGUGCGAAAGCGUGGGGAGCAAACAGG